rnacentral:lncRNA from 1 species
CUAGCAUCGAUCGUUGGAUGAGCCCGGUAACCACACAAGGCACUCGAGGCUUUCUAAAUAUGCUGUAAAAUUGAUUUGAAUAAUAAAUAUUAAACUCUAAAAUGGUUAAAUUUUAAAUAUUUUCAAUGAAGAUAUAGUACUUACGAGUGGCUUUGAAUAUGGACGAGUUCUUUAUCUUCCGACUGAGUCGGAGGUACUGCGAGCUGGAUGGUUCCUCUACCAUACCGCUGACUCUGAGAGUCAGAUGCUGCUCCGCAUGACUGUGGGAUCACUGAUGACCCUACGUC